UUCGUAGGUGGCCAACUAAGUCAUACGUGAAAUCCCUCAGCUUAACUGGGGAACUGCGCCUGAUACUGGUUGGCUUGAGUGCAGGAGAGGAACGCGGAAUUCCAGGUGUAGCGGUGAAAUGCGUAGAUAUCUGGAGGAACACCGGUGGCGAAGGCGGCGUUCUGGACUGCAACUGACACUGAGGAAGAAAGCCAGGGGAGCAAACG
rnacentral:rRNA from 1 species